rnacentral:ncRNA from 2 species
UGAUUCACUUCUGGAAAAUGCCGCGCGUGCGGCUGCCGAUGGGGCAAAUCCCGCCAACGCGGGAUAAUCUCUCAGGCCAAAUUACAGAGGCGCACAA